UACGUAGGGUGCAAGCGUUGUCCGGAAUUAUUGGGCGUAAAGAGCUCGUAGGCGGUUCGUCACGUCGGCUGUGAAAACCUGAGGCUCAACCUCAGGCCUGCAGUCGAUACGGGCGGACUCGAGUUCGGCAGGGGAGACUGGAAUUCCUGGUGUAGCGGUGAAAUGCGCAGAUAUCAGGAGGAACACCGGUGGCGAAGGCGGGUCUCUGGGCCGAUGACUGACGCUGAGGAGCGAAAGCGUGGGGAGCGAACAGG
rnacentral:rRNA from 1 species